AUUUUUAUGUGGUGCUGAGGAUCGAACCCAGCGCUUUCCACGUGCUAGAUGAGCGCUGUACCACUGAGCCACAACCCUAGCCCCUCUGGUAUAGCAUUUAAAAAAAUAUUUUUAAAAUUAUCAUUGAACCUUUAUUUAUUCAUAUGUGGUGCUGGGAAUCAAACCCAGUGCCUCACACAUGCUAGGCAAGUGUCUUACCAUGGAGCCCCAGCCCUGGUACAGCAUUUUUAAGACACAAAUCUGAUGUUUCCUGGCUGAUAACACCUAGGGAGGAGUCCACACUUCUGAGAAUUGCCUUUUUGGGCCCUGGCCUGGCUGGGCCUGGCUGUGUACACUGCCUGCUGUCUCUACUGCUGUUGGCCACCUGCACUGGAUGCACCAGCAGCCUCACACAACGUCUUCUGGGUCGGCCUUUCUUCAUGCUAUCUGCCAAUCUUUACCUGUCAAGCCACUCUGAGACCCAGACCAGGUUUUGUGCAGGCUCCACAUCCUUGGUUGCUUCUCACAUUGUGAAAAGUGAAAUCCAUGAGGGAGGGUGGGUCUGGAACCCCUAGGAUGGACCUACUGUGUUGUGAGCACUUGGGGCAUCAUCAGAUGUGAAGGAAUACAGGAGCCACAUGGGCUUAUUCCACUUCUUGGGCCUGCUGACGGUGGCUCUUUCAAAGGAGCCUGUGCUCUGAUAAUACCCACCCAGAGUUUACACAGCACCCACUCUCGCAUCUGAGUCUUCAUCUAGUGUGUUCACUGCCUUUAUCAUCAUCUACAAGUUGUGACUGAUCCUUACUCACAUUGCUGGGCAAAGUGUUCAGGACCAGGUACAGUGAGACCUGUAGCCUAAUAUCAGACCUCUUCCUUGGACAGCUGGCUGUGUGUUCAUGUUGCUGCUUGUCUUAGCAGCUGUGGGGGCAAAGAGGAAGAAGCACUAGAUUUACCUGGAGAAAUGAGGUUGUGGCGCAGAAAGGAUUGGUUGUAUGACCUUGCAGGGUGGAUAGGGUUUGUCAAGAGUCAAGGAAGGGAAGGACACUGCUGGCAGAGGAACAGUGCAACAGAGUGAAUGGGGAGGUCUGCAGAGGUCCUCCUUGAGUGUCCAACAAGCACAGGUCAUUACAUGCAUUGGAGAACACUGCCUGAGCCAGGGAAAGGGUCAUCUAAGGGGCCAGAGGGAUAGUACCUGAAGUUUACACAGGCCGGAAGGAGGGGAAGACUACUUCCUAGCGUACCAGGGCCUAUCAGGAAGGUCUUGCUGCAGUCGUGGGAAAUAUUCAGCACUAUGCUAACUACUGCUGACUCCUCCUAGCAGAUUGUAAAGUAAGACUCAGAAAGAUCAAGCUCUUUCCAAAAAAACUGCAUCCUAAAACAACACUCAAGAUUUAUAUUGCAUGUAAUGCAAUAAAAUCCACAACAUCUGCCAUCCAAAGAUUACAAAGCACGCAAAGAGGAGAACGUGGCCCUUAAUUAGGACAGUAAUAAGGUGACACUGACCUAGAUUGACACAGACACUGGAAUCAGCAGAGGAGGGCAAUGCAACUGUUAGAGUCAUUUCAUACUGUCAAGAAGGUCAUAGAAGCCAGUGAUGCACCUGUAUCCCCGCUGCUCGAGGCUCAGGCAGGAAAAUCACAAGCUUGAGGCCACCCAUAGCCACUUAGCAAGACCCUGUCUCAAGGGCUGGGAAAGUUAGCUCAGUGGCAGAAGUGCCUGGUUUCAGUGACUUUUAUAUAUUUACUGUUUUUUUUUUUUUGUUGUUGUUCUAGAGAGUACACCUUCAUAUUUUAAAAAAACCAAGACAAAUCAAAAAACCACACUAAAGAGAAAUAGGAGGUAUAAAAGAAGAACUACAUCGAGAAUCUAGAGAGAAAAAUCUAUAUUAUCUAAAAGGAAAAUACAGUGGAUUAACAACACAUCAGACUUGUAGGAGAAAUGAUUGAUGAGUUUAAAGGCAUGGCAAUAAAGCUGUCCAAAGUGAAAUGCAGAAAGAAAAGGAAGCCGAAAGAAAAAAAGGAAUGCUUUAUUGAGCUGUGGACAACGGCCGCUUGCCCACUGUGUGAACAUGUAUGUGCCCCACAAGCAGGUUUUAGUCAAUGACGGCGAAAAAUAGGACAGUGUGAUACAAUGGAGCUGGAAAACGGCUGUUGUCUAAUGAUAGGACAACCUAGUGCCACUGUGGUGGCAACACAGUGCACCUCUUGGAGACACAGCAGGUGGGCUGGGGGUGACUUGGGGGCAGAGCACUUGCCUUCCUUUUGCAAGGCCCCACACUGUGUUUGACCCCAGCACCAUACACACAGGUAGCAUGUGCAUGUGUACAGUGCAUGAGACUUGGUAAUAAAUGACCUUGCUAAGUAUGGAUUUGCUGUUCUUUUUAAUUGUUAUUUUAGAGAGUAUACCUUCUUGUAAAGGUGAAGAAUAUAAGGCAUGCUAGGCUAAGCUGGCAGCAGCUUUACACAUAGGUUUGCUUAGGUGUUGUCUAUGAUGGUCACACAGUAACAAGAUCACCUAACAUGCAGUUCUCAGAACAGAUCCCUGUUGAUAAGUGAUAAUGUGGGCUGUGGUCAUUAUACUGAAGGAGAGGAGAGUAAGGAAGAAAAACAUGAACAGCUCCUCGGGAGGCUGAAGUAGGAUCCCAAGUUUGAGGCCAGCCUGGGUAACUUAGCAACACUGCAUCUCAAAAAAAUAAAGAUGGGCUUGGGGAGGCUGAGGCAGGAGGAUCACAAGUUGGAGGCCAGUCUCAGCAAUUUUGUGAGACCCUGUCUCAAAAUAAAAAAGCACUGGAGAUGUGGCUCUGUGGUUUAAGUGCACCAGAUUCAGUCCUGGGGAUGUAAUUUGGUGGUAGAGUUCUUAACCUAGCACGUUCUUAGUGAAUUCUAUCUCCAGUACUGAAAAAAGGAAACAACAACAAAAAAUCUAAACAACACUAGAAGACCCUGAGUAUACUCUCAAAGAAAUUGAAAAGGGGAACUUGGAUUGAUACUUGUCUGCCAGUGUCCAUUGAAGCAUUAUUCACAAUAACUGAAAGUUGUAAACAGCCCAGCGUCCAUCAGCAAAUGAAUGGGUUAAUGUGGAAUGUGUAACAGAGUAGUAUUCGGUCAAUAAAAAGGAAUGAGGUUCUUUUUUAUAAAUAGUAUUGGGGAUUGACCCAGGAGUGCUGUACCACUGAGCUACAUGCCAGCCCUUUUUACUUUUUGAGACAGAUGUCACUAAGAUGCCCACGCUGGUCCUGAACUUGUGAUCCUCUAGCCUCAGCCUCCUGAGUUGUUGGGAUAACGGGUGUGGCUCCUGUGCCUGGCAGAAAUGGAGUUCUGAUACAUGCUGCAAUAUGGCGAGCUUUGAAAACUUCAUGCUAAAUGAAAUAAAUUGGACAAAAUGGCAAACAUUGUUGGAUUCCACUUUCAUGAACUAUCUAGAAUGGCAAAUUUGUAGAUAAAGGUUGUAAGGGGCCAUGAAGAGGGAGGAUGGGGAGCUACUGCCCGACAGAUUGGAGUUUCUGUUUUGAGUGAUGAAAAGCUGUGGAGUUAGUGGUGAUGGCUGUACAACAUCGUGGGUGUAACGCCACUGAAUUGUGUGCUGGAACACAGCUACAGUGGCAAAUUGUCAUCUGUAUUUUACCGCGAUUUUUAAAAUUAUGUAAUAUACCAAAAGUCAUUGAAUUGAAAACUUUAAAUGAGUGAAUUAUAUUGUAUAGGAGUUGCAUCUCAAUAAAGCUAUUUAAAAAAACCAAAGGUACAGUAAAGACGUCACAGCAAUUGCUGCGAGAAUUUACAACCACAAGAUCCCUUACCACGAAUGUUGAAGAGCAUCUUCAGGGAGAAGGACGUUAGAGCAGAUGGGGAGCUGGCUCUGUGCGGAGGAGUGAACAGCCUGGUGAUGGUAAAUAGGUAUGUGUGUGAUGUUCUCCUUAAUGUUUAAGUCCCUCGAGGAAGAAGUUGACCAUGUGGGUUUCUUGUUACUGUGUAACAAGUACCAGGUGCCUGGCACCUUCACACAGCACUCUGCU
rnacentral:lncRNA from 1 species